rnacentral:misc_RNA from 1 species
GACGGGCAUGAUCUUCAUGACCUCGUCCUUGAGGCCGGGGCAGAGGCUCUCAACGAUCUGGUGCUCCUUGACAGGGAGAGAAUGGAGGUAGAUCUGCUCCAUGCUCUUGAUUUUGCCGUCCUUAACGAGGCGGCCGAGCUUGGUGACAGGGACCCAAGCGGCUUCCUCGUCGCGACGGCCGCCCCGGCGGCCGCCUCGACGGUCACCGCGGCCGCGAUCGCCUCGGCCACGGCCGAAGCCUCGGCCGAAACCACCUCGAUCGCCGCCAAAGCCGCGGCCGAAACCACCGCGAUCGCCGCCGGCACCUCCUCUCUCCGCCAUGAUUGGGGGCUAGGGUUUGGGAUCUGGGG